rnacentral:sRNA from 1 species
UUGCGCAGUGCUGUUUCGCUGAAACAGU